UUAGCACCUAAACCCAAGGGCCACUAUUUAUUGUAAUAGUGGUUCAAACACAGGUGCUAACAGCAAAGGGUACCUCGUCACCUUUGGAGGACUUGCUAUGCCCUUCAAAGUGAACUUAGAGGUUCUACACAC
ensembl:snoRNA